rnacentral:RNase_P_RNA from 1 species
UGUGGUGAGUUUUCACUGAAUUGUAUGUAGAGGAAAGUCCAUGCUCGCACAGUCUGAGAUGACUGUAGUGUUCGUGCCUAGCGAAGACAUAAGCUAGGGUAGUCUGGUUUUUUACUGGGCUAACGGCAGGGAAAGCACCUACGUUCUGCUGCGUCGGCUAAGCUGCGCAAGAAUAUGGUGCGACUACCUUGAAAGUGCCACAGUGACGAAGUCCGGCCAGAAAUGGACGGAGUGGAACGGGGUAAACCCCACGAGCGAGAAACCCAAAAUUUGGUAGGGGCAUCCCCAGGAAGGAAUUUAACGGAAUGGGGAACAGGCAAGCUUGACUUUGCUUGUAGACAGAUGAUUACUGCUUUUGUACGAGGGUUGACAUCCGCUUGCAGUACAGAAGUACAGAACAUGGCUUACAAAA